UUAGACACUGCCUGGCCAGGUUACUCAUUAUGUACCUUGUUCCCUUAGGCUCUUUUUCAAGCUCUGGAGAACAGAGAAGAAAACUGUUAUGCCCACUAUGUGGAACAUUUCAGUACAGCACCACCUUUUUUUUUUUUUUCAUUUAAAGUCAAAAUGCAAAAUGCCUUUUUCCUCCCCCGUUCUCAUCUUACGGCCAGCUCAGACGGCAGACGUUGGUUUAGAGAGAAGAGAUUGGACUUCUGGUGAAAUAAAGGACAAGUGCAAAAGUUCCCUUGGUCAAAGUAAGCGUGGAGAAAAAUCCAGUAUAGAGCACAAGUCUGCCAGGAGAACUUAAAAGUAAAUCUUAGAAGCUCUCAAGCAGCAAAUGAAACAGCAGGAAAAAAGUCAACAACUAAAUUCAAUCUGUGAACCAUCAGCAGCAGAGGACAACAGAAGGUGGUGUUGGACAGGCCAAAAAACUACCAGUGUUUCUCAUCCACUUAGAAUUCCAACAGUCAACCAAAAACAAUGGGGAGAAAGGAGCAUCAAGCAAAAUAAACAAUUGUUCAAAAGAAGAUCUGAAAAAAUCAAGUUGGUAGCAAUAAUCCUGCUGUGAAAAUAGAUCUGUAAAAGCAAGUGGGACACAGUUCCAGAGGAAAUCAAGUCUUAGAAUAUAAAGACAGGCAGGGAAAAAGCCAAGCCAAGGAAGGAGACAAACUGAAGGAGGUUCUGAAUCACAUCAGCUACCACUUGAAUUCUUGCUAUUGACACAACCCUCAUUCAUCUCUCUUGAGCCUGAUCCAAAGAUCACAUGGUAGGGGUACUUCAGUUCAGCAUCUGGAAUCCCUAAUUACAUUCUUGGUUUCAAAUAUGCUUGCCUACUGCCAGCUCCUCACUGUUAAAGGACCUGGGUCCAACCAUCAUCCAGCAUCCCACAGUGCUGCCGUCAGUUUUCCACAACACUGUCCUGAACUAAGUCACAUGUUACUUAAGGCAGAAACCAAUUUAAAACAGAAGCACAUAUAAAAACAUAAAGAUACACAGACAACCCUACUAGCCAGUAUGUUUUCAAUUUUCCUAAUAUCGUUGGAUAACUCAGGCUUGAAGAGACCUCAGGAGGUUUCUAGUCUAAGUUUCUGCAAUUACCUACAGCAUCUGAGCUCAAGGAGCUAUAGAAAUCCCUACUGAAUUAGCAGAGGUAGUUAUGAAGGUACGUGCCCUACCAGAGAGCUGACACAUUCAUUUAAAGCGGAUCAGGAACACACACUAGACAUACUUUUAUCCAGACCUUAGACAAAACCAAUGGCUGAGACCCAAGUCAGAUUAAACACUGUUGUCUUCAUUAAUAGUAUAAUUAAAAUUUCAAAUAGGAAACUCCAUUUUUCCAAAUAUUUUAAUUCCAUGAUAGCAUACAAUAUCAGAAAGCAGUCUUAUUCUUUACAAAAAUUCAGUUGUAAAACUUUUCCAUUCAUAUACAGAAUUUCGGGGAUUUUCCCUCGUGCAAAAUUAGAAAACUGCCCAGACAGCAUCUGAAAACAAGGAGUCCACAAAAUUUUAACAUUAUUUCUGGGUAUUUAUGUAUCAAUGUAUACAAAUACAAAAAACUAUGAGAGAAAAUUUACUUUAAGAUGUCUCUACACUUCACUUUUUUACAUCAACUGACAACAAUGUCUAUGUCCCAAGUCUCAAAAUGAGGAAAGUAACACUUUUAUAAAAUGAAGGUAAUGUAAAAAUACUGAAAAAAAAAAGGAUAUGGAAGUAAUACUCAGUCAGCCAAAUAUCAUAAGCUAAUACAAGUGUGCAGUGUAAAUUUAGGAAUGUGACACAAACACGUGAAAUACUUAAUGAUAUUAAAUUUGGCACACCAGAAAUUUCCCAUAUUUAUAGUUUACCUGUUGUCAAGUCUCAAGUGAAGUGGGCAAGCAUAAACUAAAUCACAAUUAUAACACAAGCUAUGCAAGAGUGGGGAAAAAAACCCACCCAGAACUUUACAGCUUAGAAGAUCUUUGAUUAAACAACCUGUUACUUCUUUCUGGAUAAAAUAAAAAUACUUUCAUACUUCAAAGCAUAAAAUAAUCCUAUAGACAGCAAAUCUGAGGUGUUUCGUCCUACCAACACCCUACUUUAUAAUUGCCUAUUACUACUUUAUCAUCUCACUUAUGCCACCACAUAACAAGCCAAUCUACAUAUUAAAAUCUGUGAGAGGGAUAAAGGAGUAAGAAAGGCCGGAAAAAAACUAAAUCUAACACUAAUGUUUAGCAUAAAAUUAAGUAUCUUUAUUUAAAGGCAUCUUUACAGAGCUGCUUACUUUUUUACUGCUCUGAAAACAGCACAUGAAGCAACAGAUCUAUUAUUUUAUCUGAAAUACCCUAAACAACCUUCAAAAUAUCUUCACUGAACAUAAGGAUAAAGAAUGUUGCGGUAUCCUUAGUCCUCCAGUACUAUUUUAAGAGACAAACACUUCCCUGUAAUUGCAGCCCAGACUCCCAAAGAGCCAUUUUUUUUUCCCUCUUUAAGAAUGUCCAUUUGUGGCUAUCAAUAAGCAUCAUAAAAACACAAGACAUUCACGGGCUAUUUUAACCAAAUAGACGGCAAAUUGUUUCCAGCUCCCACAGCCUGCUUACACAUUUAGGAUUUGAAUGCCUCUCCAAGACUUAAAUGGGCACUGAAAGAAGACAGCGACCCACAACCCGUUUAUCCCAAAAGCUGGCAGUUCUAUUUCCAGCAAGGAACAGUGACUGGGUGCCGGCAGCGUGAGUUCGCUGUGAGCCCCCGCGGGCCCCGCGCACCACUAGAGGCCCUCGCAGCAGCUCCAUUUCCUGCACUCUGCUUUUAACACUGCCUUAAAGACACACCCAGGGUCACUCAGCUGUCUCACAGGUUGGAGCUGCAGGCACCUGCAUACUUUGAUUUUUGUUAGGUACGGCUUCACCAAGCUUCAGCUAAACAAAUAGGUAAAUAGGCGGUGAAUUUUUUUCCUUUUUACGUAUUAUUUGCACUGCUCUAACAUCCAAAGCCUCCCAAAAGAGAUGCAUUAAUUCGUACUUUGAACUUUACAAACCACCUCAUGCUAAAUGGAAGGCAGCUGGAGAGGAAAAAGAAAAAUUCUGAGAAGUGAAAAGAGAGUAUUGUCUUCCUAGGGUCUUAAAAUCCAGAAGUUUUCUGUAUACGCUUACUAGGACAUCACAGAGAAGAACCUGAGAAGCCUCUUCAACAAGAAUGUUCCUACAGGACAUUAGCCCUCAGCAAAAGGGCUCUGUUCUUACGUAUUCUGAAAUAUCAUCUAUUUCUAGGGCUCUGAUUCUGUGCUAAUGAAGCUUAAACACUUUGACAUGUCUUAAUUUACUUACGUUUUCAGUGUUCCAGACGUCAUUAGUUCCGUCACAAGAACAAUACACUUUUUUCCUUUGACUGUAGACUCCCAGGAAUCAUAGAACCUGACAAUAUUGGGAUGCUGAAGCCCUUUCAGCAUCCCAGCUUCCUCUUUAAAUCGUUGUCGCUCUGACUUGGACAGUUUCCGAUCCUAAUGAAAAAGAAAAGGUGCAUCAGAAAGCUUUGCUUGAUUUUCUUAUUCAGAGAAGCAGUAACUUGAAAAACAGUUGAGUACACACAAGAAUCAGCUUUCUUAAAUGCCAUUUAGCUCACAAUUAUCUUCAAAAUAUGCUAUCUUGAGCACAUUCUAUUACAGUCUUUUUACAAUGUAUUGUUCCUUACAAUCCUAUUGCUCUUGGAGUUAAGAACUGCAAGUCUGUAGAUUAACUCCUCCUCCUGUCUCCUCUUCUCUUACUCUUAAUAAAUUUAGUCACUGCCUUGAGCUGGAAAGGGCAUGUACCGUUUUGAACAUUUCAGUGUUUGAGGAUAAAAUCAGAUCAUUUAAAGCAUGUUGUACACAACAAUAAUCUUCCAUCAUUCCUAUGUAUCCAGCCCACUGGUAACACAUGGCAUUAGCCCUCCAUACAGGGGGUAGAGCAUCAAACCUCUCUAACAUACAGUAUGUACGUGUAACUGUAAAUAAUCAAGUAAAUGAGCUGGUGUUUCUUUGAUUAAAAGCAGAAGCUCAUGAUUGA